GGCGGCGUAGCCAAGUGGUAAGGCAGCGGAUUGCAAAUCCGCCAUUCAGCGGUUCGACUCCGCUCGCCGCCU
rnacentral:tRNA from 1 species